GACGAACGCUGGCGGCGUGCUUAACACAUGCAAGUUGAACGGUCCGGCAUGGAAGCUUGCUGAAGUGUCGGGUAGUAGCGGACGGGUGAGUAAUGCAUGAGAAGCUGCCAUUGGGAGGGGGACAACAGUUGGAAACGGCUGCUAAUACCCCAUAUGCCGGAAGGUGAAACGGAGUGAUCCGCGCGAGGAGGUGCUAAUGUCCUAUCAGCUAGUUGGUGAGGUAACGGCUCAGCAAGGCGACGACGGGUUGCCGGCCUGAGAGGGUGACCGGCCACACUGGAACUGGGAUACGGGACGGACUCCUACGGUAGGCAGAAGUGGGGAAUAUUGGGCAAUGGGGGCAACCCUGACCCAGCGACGCCGCGUGAGGGAAGACGGCCUUCGGGUUGUAAACCUCUUUUGUACGGGAAGAAGGACGUGACGGUACCGUGCGAAUAAGUCCCGGCUAACUACGUGCCAGCAGCCGCAGUAAUAC
rnacentral:rRNA from 1 species